rnacentral:lncRNA from 1 species
CGCGGGAUGGCGGAGACGAGGGCGCUGGGAAUGAUCCCGGUAUCCUAUACAGUUCAGCCUCUGGCCGAAUACCACCGCGUCAGCUAGGCCAUGGCACUGAGUGCCACGUCCCGCCUUUCCUUACGCGCCUCAAGGAACGGUGACUCCACCACCUCCCCGGGCAGCUUAUUCCAGCGCCCAGUCACGCUUUCUGUGAAGAAAUUCCCAGGCAUAGCUUGAGGCUUUGUCCUGCUGUCCUGCCACUAAAUUACCUGGGUGGAGAGGCCGACCCCCACCUGGCUCCACCCUCCUUUCAGGGAGCCGCAGAGAGCGAUGAGGUUCCCCUCAUGAGGUUAAUUUUCUCCAGGCUGAGCAACCCACUCGACCCCAAACUCCCCCAGACUCUCUUUAUAACUCCAAACCUUUCCCCAGCUCCCUUUCCCUUCUCUGGGCCCACUCCAGCAUUUCAGUACCUUUCCUGAGCUGAUGACACCUGUCUGCCUCCGCGUCCUCACCGGCUCGGAGCCGAGGGCAAAGCUCAGCCCAGGCUCCCUGCCCCGGGGCUGUGGCAGGAUCCCUGCUGCUCUGAGUCCAGAUGGAUCCCAGAGACAGGCAUAAGGGUCUGCCGACACAUGCACUCAGCGACUUCUCUUCAUUCCAAAGUAUUUAGGCAGCCUAUAAACUGACCUUAGCAUUGGUACGGUCUUGUCCCUUUACUCUUCCGUUUCAACACCUGCAAAUCAAGUAGGAAGGAUCCAGGAAAGGGAAGAUUGGAAACCAGCCUUCCCAAGAGAAGUCUUUUGUUAAGACAAACUUGUUACCAGGAAAUGGCUUCCUGCUUUCUCAGAAUUUCAUUUUUUUCCUGCCAGUCGGUCAGAAGGCAGCUGGGGGUUGCAGGGAGUGGGGAGCUGAUGGAUCUGGACCAUAAAGCAGUAAGGUCAAGCCCACUGGAGAGGCUGCUGUCCUGCAACCCAGGGAUGGGUCCCAGCAGGCCAGACAAGUGGGGACUGAGAAGAGACAAGGACCAAGCUUCCUCUAUUGGAAACUUUGACAUGGCAUCAAGCAAGGGUGUAGCAGAUGCCAUUUGGAUGAACACUCACAGUAAGGACCAGAACUACCCCUGUUAUUCCUGGCUCUGUGAAGGGUUGUCUCCUUGGAGCUGCCUUCCAAAGAGGUGCCACAGGUUGGAACAAAUGUGAGUUAAUAUAAGGAUCAGGACAAAAUCUCUAUAAUUGGAAUAUCUGGGGCUUGGGAAGGAGGGGGGAUUCUCUCCUAUAUUACUAGUACUGAUAACUGCUUAUUUUGGGAUGAAUAUCUAGGAAGCAGAGAAACGCAUGCCUGAAAAACAGCAAACAAAUAAAUUGACUGAAAUUCUGUGAAACUAUAAAUGG